GAUGAAGAACGUAGCGAAAUGCGAUACUUGGUGUGAAUUGCAGAAUCCCGUGAACCAUCGAGUCUUUGAACGCAAGUUGCGCCCGAAGCCAUUAGGCCGAGGGCACGCCUGCCUGGGCGUCACACGUCGUUGCCCCCCCAUCUACUCCUUCGGGAUUGCGGGGGGCGGAUGAUGGCCUCCCGUGCGCCUCGCCGCGCGGUUGGCAUAAAUGCCAAGUCCUCGGCGACGCACGCCACGACAAUCGGUGGUUGCGAAACCUCGGUUGCCCGUCGUGUGCGGUCGUCGCGCAUCGAGGGCACGAAAAAAUUGCCGGGUUCCGGCUCGGCUUUCAACGCGACCCCAGGUCAGGCGGGGUUACCCGCUGAAUUUAAGCAUAUCAAUAAGCGGAGGA
rnacentral:misc_RNA from 1 species